GUGUCAGCAGCCGCGGUAACACGUAGGGGGCAAGCGUUGUCCGGAUUUAUUGGGCGUAAAGAGCUCGUAGGCGGCUUGAUAAGUCGGAUGUGAAACCUCCAGGCUCAACCUGGAGCCGCCACCCGAUACUGCAAUAGCUAGAGUCCGGUAGGGGAGCAUGGAACUCCUGGUGUAGCGGUGAAAUGCGCAGAUAUCAGGAAGAACACCAGUGGCGAAGGCGGUGCUCUGGGCCGGAACUGACGCUGAGGAGCGAAAGCGUGGGGAGCAAACAGGAUUAGAAACCCCAGUAGUCC
rnacentral:rRNA from 1 species